rnacentral:rRNA from 1 species
GACGAACGCUGGCGGCGUGCUUAACACAUGCAAGUCGAACGGAAAGACCCUGAUUUUGUGGGGCGCUCGAUUGGCGCACGGGUGAGUAACACGUGAGUAUCAUGCCCUUGUCUUUGUGAUAAAUUCAGGAGACUGGGGCUCAUACCGCGUAGGAGCUCCUGCUGCAUGGUGGGGGUUGGAAAGUUUCGGCGGUUGGGGAUGGUCUCGCUGCUUAUGAGCUUGUUGGUGAGGUAGGGGCUUACCAAGGCUUUGACGGAUAGGCGGCCUGAGAGGGUGACCGGCGACAUUGGGACUAAGAUACGGCGCAGACUCCUACGGGAGGCAGCAGCGGGGAAUAUUGCACAAUGGGCGGAAGCCUGAUGUAGCAACGCCGCGUGCGGGAUGACGGCCUUCGAGUUAAAAACCGCUUUCGCCGGUGACGAAGCGUGAGUGACGGUAAUGGGUAAAGAAGCACCGGCUAACUACGUG